GAACAUAGACAACACAAAAUAAGACAUCAGAAAUAAGUUUAAACAUAUUAGCAAUUAGAAUAAAUGUGAAUGGGUUAAAUGUGCAUAUUGCAAAGUAGAGACAGGUCGAUAACAACAAAAAACCAAUACCAAAUACUUACAUGUCAGGCACUGUAUUAAGCACUGGAAUGGGUGCACAAGACAGACAUGAUCAAUUUAAGGUCUAUGGGGAAAAGGUAUUAAACAAAUAAUAACAGAACCACCACAGUAACUCAAAAAUAUUUGUCUGUGUGUGAAUGUGUUAGAUACUGGAAAAAUAAUGGAGACCAAAAUAGAUAUGGGUAUUACCCUCAAAAAGCAAGUAGUCUAUGGAUACAACAACAAGCAAGUACUGAUAAACAAUGUUCAUUUACUCAAAUAUUUAUUUAUCCUUUAUUUGCUAGGUGCUGGGGAUAUAAUGGUUAAAAAUUAAUCAUAGGGAUAAAUAUUGUUAAGCCAAUAUAUAGCAUAAAAUGAGACUUUACAACAAGGUCCUUGAACCUGAACUUCUUUGUGGCAGAAUAGGAAGGAUGAGAAGAAGCUAACAAAAAGGGAAGGAAAAGACCAUUCCUGUCAGAAGGAACAGCACAAAGGUAGCUGGGGAUUGCUUAGCAUAUUUUGAAGGAUCAGAGAGAUCAGUAUUUAGUACCCAGGGAACUAAGGGGAAAGUGGUGGAGAGAUAAAGAUCUUUCUGGUCACUUUUCAUUGCAAUGAUAAGCCAUUAAAGGGACUUAAGCAAGAAGAGUAAAACGAUCUGAUCUGUUUUCAGAAUAUCACUUUAGCCACGAUGUAGAGAAAGCAGGUAUCAGAAGACCCCAUGGGGGACUACUGCAGAACUCCAAGAGAGCUGGUGGCUUAAAUUAGGACAGUUUUACAACUGGUAGGAAAAAAAAAGCGAAUGGAUAUGAAAAGAACUUAGGAAAUAAAAUCAGUAAGUUUUGGUGACUGUACUAUGAAGUCAAGAGUAUUUGGAAAAGGAAAAAAACACAUUAGAGAUGAUUCAUUUCACAGGUGUUUUUUUUUUUUUUUUAAUAUGAGCAACUGAGUCAGCACUUGAACCACUUGCAGCAGGAGAAAAACCAUGAAAUGACCAACUAAGUUAAAGACUACCAAUAGGCUCUCUCUCUGGAUAACGAGUGGCUGGAUAACAUGGAAUCGGGCAAGAUGGCACUUCUCAAGAACGCUCCUAGGGAUGCCUUGAUGAUGGCACAGAUCUUGAAAGAUAUGGGAAUCAAAGACUACAAACCAAAGGUUAUAAAUCAAAUUUUGGAAUUUGCUUUCCGAAAUGUGACUACAAUUCUGGAUGAUGCAAAAAUUUAUUCAAGCCAUGCUAAGAAACCUAAUGUUGAUGCAGAUGAUGUGAGACUGGCAAUCCAGUAUCGUGCUGACCAAUCUUUUACCUCUCUUCCCCCAAGACGUUUCUUACUGGAUAUUCCAAGGCAGAAAAAUCAAACCCCUUUGCCACUGAUUAAGCCAUAUGCAAGACCUAGACUCCCACCUGAUAGAUACUGCUUAACGGCUCCAAACUAUAGGCUGAAGUCCUUAAUUAAAAAGGGGCCUAACCAAGGGAGACUAGUUCCACGAUUAACUGUUGGUGCUGUUAGUAGCAAACCUACCACUCCUACUAUAGCGACCCCACAAACAGUGUCUGUCCCAAAUAAAGUUUCAACUCCAAUGUCAGUGACAAGCCAAAGAUUUAACAGUACAGAUUCCACCUUCUCAGUCCACACCUGUCAAACCAGUUCCUGCAACAACUGCAGUUCAAAAUGUUCCAACUAAUCCCUCAAUGAUUGGGCCCAAAAACAUACUUAUUACCACCAACAUGGUUUCGUCAUAGAACACAGCCAAUGAAGCAAACCCACUGAAGAGAAAAACAUGAAGAUGAUGAAGACAAUGAUACUAUGUAA